rnacentral:lncRNA from 1 species
AUGUUUUUAAAUACUUCUUGUAAAUUCUUCAGUGGUCUCUUCUCCCUUCACCCAGGUGAGGCACUGCAGUGUUACACCUGUGUAGGUUCUAGUGAUGACGACUGCAACAGACAAGGAAGUCAGCAGUGUCCAGGCCAUGCAGAUGCCUGUGCAGUCAUUAGAGGACAAGCAAGUGGCAUCAUGAAAUCCUGCUCGUUCAGGUCCUUCUGCGAGCGGGCGAGGAGGGACGGAUCGAGGGCGCCCGGAGUGAGCGUCCACUGCUGCUACUCCAACAACUGCAAUGCCAAGAGCACGGCUCCCAGGGUCACCAGCUCCAGCAGCUACCUCUCCCUCCUCAUCUUCACACUGCUCUGCCACCCCUUGUUGAAGCUGACAUGAGGGGGAAAAAGAAGAAAAAAAAAAGUAUCUUGAAACAACAGCUCUGCCUUCGUAGCAAGGGAUGAUAAUAUUUCCUAGUCAUGCUCCACUUAUCUCACUAGGCAAAAGGUAUAGGAAGACCUGAGAGAUGUUUAGAUAAAAAUUGUUUCAUCUGCUAAAUAGGUCUUGAUCUCUGUGUAAGAAGCUCUGCCCUGUUGUUUAUCCUGAGGGGUUGAUUGUGUGAAUACUUAACAUUUUCCUGCAAUUUAGACAGGGAGAAAUCUUUGCUGCAGGUAGCCUGGUAGUAAGGUAAAGGGUAAAUGUCUGCCAAAUGCUGUUUACUGGUGGCAGGCAGUCAAAAGCAAGCUAAAAUUUUCAAACACAAAGUGACUGAAAAUUCUAGCAAGCAAGUUAAUCUUUCAGAGAGCAUUGGAAUACUGGACAAAGCCAGGAAACUCAAAAUGCAGAUGAUUUAGUAUUAGUACAAGCUGAUAAGAGAAGGUCAUUAAGAGAAUAAGGCAUGGAGGUGUAUUGUAUAUGAUCCUGGUAGAGGGGCUGGAACUGGAUGUCUUUAAGGUCCCUUCCAACCCAAACCAUUCGAUGAUUCUAUGCUUUCUUGGAAAAAAACACCUUCCAGUCUUUUCUGAUCCUUUGAGAACCUUACCACAGCAUCAGAAGAAGGAAAAAGAAGGGUUUGGAAGUUAUUUUUGAACUGGUACCCCAUCCAAAGAUUGGCUCAAUCUAUCUCCCCUGCUGGUUUUAAAAACAAGUGAUUAAUCCUUGUCUUGAAGGCAAAUUACAACUUGAGUGUAUAAUUCUUCUUGAGGUUUCAGUUAUAAUAGAUAAUUUUCCACUGCCCUAAACUUCAGACUUUGAGAGUUAGAGUGUAUAUAUCCAUCCAUACCUCCCCCUUCAGUGAUGUGAUUGAGUUGAGGUGGUUUAUGUAUCCUUUUCAUUUUGCAAAGUGAAUUAAAUUACUUGGAGGUCUUUAGAGGCAUAAGGGACUAAGUCAAUAUUUCUAAUAAACUCUUCCAUGGCAGUUUUACCA